AUAAAAGCAGGGAUCUGUUGCCAUUUGUGAGCAGUUCUCUCGUAAACUUCAGGGAAAAAAAAUGGCAAUGUUAUUGGGUGAAUCAUUUGAGUUAUUUCGAUGAUUUAUGGUUCAGUAAACAAUGCAAUAUUU